AUAUCAAUAAGCGGAGGAAAAGAAACUAACAAGGAUUCCCCUAGUAACGGCGAGUGAAGCGGGAAGAGCUCAAAUUUAAAAUCUGGCAAUCUUUGGUUGUCCGAAUUGUAAUCUAGAGAAGCGUUUUCCGUGCUGGACUGUGUACAAGUUUCCUGGAUACGGAACAUCAUAGAGGGUGAGAAUCCCGUCCUUGACACAGACUCCCAGUACUUUUGUGAUGCGCUCUCGACGAGUCGAGUUGUUUGGGAUUGCAGCUCAAAAUGGGAGGUAAAUUCCUUCUAAAGCUAAAUAUUGGCGAGAGACCGAUAGCGAACAAGUACCGUGAGGGAAAGAUGAAAAGCACUUUGGAAAGAGAGUUAAACAGUACGUGAAAUUGUUAAAAGGGAAACGCUUGAAGUCAGUCGCGUUUGCUUGGACUCAGCCUUACUUUGGUUUGGUGCAUUUCCUCGCAGACGGGCCAGCGUCCAUGUUGUUUGCCGGAAAAGGGGUGAAAGAAUGUGGCUCCUUUAGGAGUGUUAUAGCUUUUACUCGUAUGCGGGGAGCGAUAUGGAGUGGUACAGCACACUUCGGUGGUGCUUGUGCUGGCAUAAUGGCUUUAAACGA
rnacentral:rRNA from 1 species